CAGUUGCCCUGCGACGCGAUGGCCGCGGC
rnacentral:sRNA from 1 species